ensembl:lncRNA
AAGAAAUUGAGAAAUUUCCAGUUACCAUCUUAAGAUGUUCCAGGCCCAGAGAGAUGAAUGUUAUUAAAUAUUUGGGGAAUGAAAGCCUUUAACACUGUUUAAGUUAUUUCAGAGCAUACAGUGAGAAAGAUAUAUUCCAAAUUUCGCCAACCAAUCCAGCAUAACACUGAUGGCGAAACAUGAGAAACAGGACAGAGAAGGUACAAUGGAGAAAACCAGAGCCCCACCUUGCUCGUGUGAAUGUGUGUGUGUGUCUGUGUAUAUAUGUACAUAAUAGAAUUCAGCAACACAUUAAAAGAAUAAUAAACCAUACCCAGGUGGAUUUAUUUCAAAAAUGUAAAAGUGAAACAAUUUAAGAAUAUUUACUGGAAUAAUUCACCACAUUCAUAGGUCAAGGGAGGAAAAACGUGAUCAUUUCAAUAGAUUCCUCAAAGUUAUUUGAAAAGUUAAAAAUCAAUUUAUGGACUUUACAAAACUUCUAAUACAAUAGGAAAGCGUGUGUUAUUCUUUAAGAAAAUUAAAUCUAUGUCUCUAACAAAAACGUCUGCACCGGGCGAAUGAAGAGUGAGAUCAACCCAUUACAAUAGCAGCCAUUGAAUCAGAGAACAGAAAGAAAAUAGUGAAAAUAGAAGACAGGAGGGAAUAAUUUAUUAUUACUGAUAACAUAUACCGUUAAUUUUAUACCUGGACAAAACAGGAAAAUCAAUUGAAAAGCAAUUAAAGAAAAAAUAGAACUUGGGGGCCGGCCCGGUGGUGCAGCGGUUAAGUGCGCAGUUUCCACUUCUCGGAGGCCCAGAGUUCGCGGUUUGGAUCUCGGGUGUGGACAUGGCACCGCUUGGCAAAAGCCGUGCUGUGGUAGGCGUCCCACAUAUAAAGUAGAGGAAGAUGGGCAUGGAUGUUAGCUCAGGGCCAGUCUUCCUCAGCAAAAAGAGGAGGAUUGGCAGAGUUAGCUCAGGGCUAAUCUUCCUCAAAAAAAAAAAAAAAAAAAGUAGAAUUCAACAAAGAAGCUGGUUAUGAAAUUAACAUGCAAAAAUCAAGUUUUUCAUACAAAUAGUAACCAGGAGAAAAUAUAAUGAGGGAAAAUAGAAUUUAUAUAUUAGCAAUGAAUUGGAGGGGAAAUACCUAAGAAUAAAGUUAAGAAUCCACAAUACUUACGUGAAUAAAAGCAUAAUACUCUAUUGAGAGAACUCAAAGACAUAUUUGGAUAAAUUGAAAGAUAAAAGUUGGAUAAGAAAUCUCAUUAGUGUAAACUUCUCAAGUCCCCUAAAUUAACAUAGAAAUUCAAUGAGAUUCCAGUCACUGAGAAGUUAAUUCUAAUUCACAUAGAAAUAUAGCUAUAUAUUACAUAUAAUAUAAUAAUAUAGAAACACGUGUCAGAAUAGCCAGGAAUUUUGGGGGGAAAACCAAGGAGGAACUAGUCCUACCAGAUGCCAAAAUGUACAAAAGUACAGUAAUAAAAUGAAGUUAGUGUUGGUGGAGAAAUAGGUCAUUGGAACAGAGUCUAGAAACAGGCCCAAAUACAUACGUCAUUUAAUAUGUGAGGGUCCACGUGCGGAUCCCUAGGCUACUGUCUCAGCUUCGGAGCCGUCCUGCGCUCGCUCGGCGACGCUGGGCUGGGACGCCGAGCGCGUCUCUCUCGGCCGGCCGGCUGCCCGCCGGUGGUGCCCGCGGGGGCGCUGGGGGAGAGCCGAGCGGGAGGAGAACGGGCGCCGGCUCCUCCGGGCUGCCUCCUGCGGCCGCCGCUGCUGCCCGCGAGCCCUCUGCCUCGGCGGCGAGUGGCCGCUGUUUCCCACGACAGCGAGUUCCAGCGACCUGCGUCUCUCCACGUUCUCAACCAGGCUCGCGUUCUGGGUCUGGGCUCCCUAAGGCCCUCGCCAAACACCGAGAGAAAUUCUAGAGGAAUCAAAGAUUAGCAUAUAAAAAAAUCUGACAGGUUGCAGAUGAGAGGAAGGGGUGAGGAGGAUUCCGAAAAAAUGGCAGUUUAUUGUGCAGAAGCCGUGGCGCUUCCCGACCCAGCCCCAGUCCCGCUGCUCUUCUCCUAAAACAAGCCGCCGCUGAGGCUCCACGGGCGCGGGCAGCGCCCCGGCUCAGUCACCGGCCCGACGAUGGAGCUGGGGUGGGAGUUCCUCCCUGUGCCGGAGGAGAUCCCGGCGACCAGCAUCAGAGUCCUGGGGCAGCAGAGCGGCCAGCGUGGUACCUACGGUCAGGUUGGGCAGUCCGCGGGCCGCAGGGCAGGGCGGGGGCCCCAGGUCACGGCCCGGAGGAGCCGGGGUCUCUCUGGCCUCCGGGUCGAGCUGACUCCUCUCUGUCCCUGAGCAGCGGACGCUCAGGCUUCACUAGCCUUGGCAGCACGGGGCCCGUUGGAGGACUCGUAGCUCGCGGGCGCUCACGCCGCAGUCCACAGGCCGACUGCGGGCCGGCCCUCCUCCCGGGACGGUGACGACGGGACGGUGACGACGGCCGGGAGAGCGCCAGCGGCAGGGAGCCAGCGCGAGAGCCAGAGAAAGAGUCUCCUAGAGUCCCCGAACCGCUGGAGGGACAGACACGUGCCGGGAGCGCUCCAGGGUUCAAGUCCAGCCCUGGAAAGUCUUCCCGAUGAGAUGCGGAUGAACGCUCGCGCCUGGUGACGUCAGCUAAGAGAGAACGCAAAGACACAGUCACCAGCUUAUUACUCGGCACAGCAGUUUCUAGUCGGAGAACAUCACAUGGAAGGAAGAGGAGUGGCUGCCGCGUGGGGAUGAACCCGAAGCACACUGCGCAGUGGAGGAAGGAGGAGGAAGGAGGAGGAAGCAUGUCCCGUGACUCGUCAGUGGGCUGUGCGCACGCACUGGUUUUACACCUUUUGAACUACUCACGUAUUUACUUUUAUUGUGCCCUCAACGUAUUUUCUGUGAUAUAACUUUAUUUGUAGUGAAGUUUGGAUGCAAGAUCACCGUGAACCCCCUAAAUGUUGAGAAAUGGUUGAACGGUGCGGAAAGAAGGCCAUGCCUUCCAAAGAACCCCUUCUCCGCCAGCCCCCCCACUACCAAGUCUUUCUUCCUCCUUCCUUCCUCCUUCGCAAGGUUUUCAGGAGAGAGCUGACAUCUUUAAGGGAAGGAUAGGUGCAUUUUUUGGAUUAGCGAUGCUCUCUGCGGAGUACAGAUGAAGUCGCAUUGCCUCAUGGAGCUCAUGGCUACUAUCUUGGGAACCAACUGAAGCAGCUGGAGAAUUGAAGUCGUUGGCAUUCAUUGGACCGUCUCCAUUCCUUGCUGUAGACAGAAAGACACCGUUCUCAACGUGUUGAGUUUGUGAUCCUAGGGACCAAGCUUUGGCCUUUUACCACUAAGAUGAAAUGACUACAGACCCAUUGACUAAGGACCACAAAGGCUCACGUAAACAUAAGGAAAAGGAAGAUUUUCAAUUUCAACUUGCAGUUAAGAGCUCCAGGUACAUUCAAGAGUCCAUCUUCUCACCUAUCUGGAAACUAGGAGCUACUAAAUU